AGAGAAGCGGAAUCCCGGUGUACGGUGAAAUGCGUAAUUGGAGGAACACCAGUGGCGAAGGCGACUCCUGGGCUGUACCUGACACUGAGCGCGACAGCGUGGGGAGCGAACAGGAUUAGAUACCCUGGUAGUCCACGCCGUAAACGAUGGACACUAGGUAUGGGGAGUAUCGACCCUCCCCGUGCCGUAGCUAACGCGUUAAGUGUCCCGCCUGGGGACUACGGCCGCAAGGUUAAAACUCAAUGGAAUUGACGGGGGCCCGCACAAGCAGCGGAGCGUGUGGUUUAAUUCGAUGCAACACGAAGAACCUUACCAGGGUUUGACAUGCUGGAAGUAGAAACCCGAAAGGGGGACGACCUGUUAAGUCAGGGACCAGCACAGGUGCUGCAUGGCUGUCGUCAGCUCGUGCCGUGAGGUGUUGGGUUAAGUCCCGCAACGAGCGCAACCCCCGUUGCCAGUUGUUUUCUCUGGCGAGACUGCCCCGCAAAACGGGGAGGAAGGUGGGGAUGACGUCAAGUCAGCAUGGCCCCUAUGUCCUGGGCUACACACACGCUACAAUGGGCGGUACAGUUGGUGGCAAUGGGGCGACCCGGAGCUAAUCCUAAAAGCCGUCCUCAGUACGGAUUGCAGGCUGAAACCCGCCUGCAUGAAGCUGGAGUU
rnacentral:rRNA from 1 species